rnacentral:rRNA from 1 species
CCCUUAGAUGUUCUGGGCCGCACGCGCGCUACACUGAUGCAUUCAACGAGUCUAAAACCUGCUCUGAUAGGGGUGGGUAAUCUUUUGAAUGUGCAUCGUGAUUGGGAUAGAUGAUUGCAAUUUUUCAUCUUCAACGAGGAAUGCCUAGUAAACGCAAGUCAUCAGCUUGCAUUGAUUACGUCCCUGCCCUUUGUACACACCGCCGUCGCUCCUACCGAUUGAAUGAUCCGAUGAAUAUCAUGGAUUGAGGAUGCAAGUAGGUUAGCCUAUCUUCAUCUUCGAGAAGUGAAGUAAAUCUUAUCAUUUAGAGGAAGGAGAAGUCGUAACA